rnacentral:lncRNA from 1 species
CCACACCACAGCCCCCACCCUGACAUCUGGGCUCCCAGGUUCAGGAGCUCUGCUGGAGAAAAUCACAGCCCACGCAGAUUGGCGCUACUACAAAGUCAUCUGCAGCCUCAGCGGGCUGCUGAGCAGCCUGCUCUCACAGGCUGGGAGCUGGGCAUUUUAUUCUCCAUGUGAUUGAUGCCGGCACAACUUGGCACACAAUGCGCCCGCCAUUCAUGGUGACUGAGAAGGGUUGUCUGGACCAAACGGAUGAGUCGCAUACUCAGGUGACUUCUUGUGAACUCCACCCCACCCCCAAUGAAUAAAGGGACCAAUCACUGGAGACCUGACAUGGUGAUUUUCUUUGAAGAAAAAGACGGCAACUUCCAGAAAUGAGUACUGUGGUUUAGAAAGAAAGCACCUGACCUUGUGGCGAGAGUUCAUCUUGUUCUGUUCUACUUAAAAAGAAAUACAGAAGAUGAAGAAAGAAGGAAAAAAAUAUUCCACUGGGUGAUGGUGAUCCAUGUCUUUAAUCGCAGCACUCAGGAGGCAGAGGCAGGUGGAUCCCUGAGUUCGAGGCCAGCCUGGUCUCCAGAGCAAGUUCCAGGACAGCCAGGGCUACACAGAGGAACCCUAUAUUGAAAAAAACAAACAAAACAAAACAAAAAUAUAAACCAGUUUCCUUAGACUUAGAGAAUUCCAGUCUCUCUGCGGAUCCUGAGCCCUCUGAGGGGCCUAACAAGAACUUUGCAGACAUUCUUUGCCUGCUAAAGAAACCCUGACUACACAGCUGGUUCCUUCACCAGGGCUCCGAGUUUUUCUACCAAUUCCUUUCUACUCCUCCUUUGUGACUUUGCUUCAUGUCCAUUAGAAGGGGAAAGAGAGAUAAUUUCUGCUUCUUCGAGAGAGGCCAAGAUGAAGCCAAACUUCUAAAAAGAUGGGGACUCAUUAUUUAAUAUAAUUUCAGGAUUAGCCUUGGGUAUUUCAGUGGAGGGGCUAAAGGAAAGGCUCUCUCAAACGAGAUUCAUUUCUACCUCCCACCAAAGGAGAAGGGAGACAAAUACUGGCUCAGUGGGGGUUCAGGUUGCAGCUUAAUUCCUCAUCUGCCCAGAGAAACAACCCACAGGGGGAAAAAAAGGAGGCAUCAGGCUUGCUGGUAAACUCCCCUACCUCUGAGUCAUCCUGGUGCCCAAAUGUUUAAAUGAUGUUUAAAAGAGAAAUUCAGAAACACAGUGUCGUUGUCAUUGUCAUUGUCAUCAGGACAAACAGACGCUGCCCAGGCAAGCUCAGAAACCCAGCUUCAAAGGUGGCUUCAUUCAAAAACCCUCCAAUUGAGGACCAGGACUGUUCGCAUUAUCCAUCAUGGGAUCUGGUCCAGGCCAGUGCCCAUACGAUCAAUCAACGUCUCAAACAUCUCUUUAGGAUGACUACUCAGCUACAGUCAUGGAUUAAAGAUGCGAGAGAGAGAGAGAGAGAGAGAGAGAGAGAGAGAGAGAGAGAGAGAGAGAGAGAGAGACAUAGCUCCCAGUGAUGAACGCCACCUUUGCAUCCCAAGUGUGAAGUCACAGCCUCUCCUCCAGGAGGGCUGAUAGGAUGGAUAACAAUUGGCUUUCAGCCGUUGCUGAUAUGACAAACGUUUUUUUUUUUUUUAAUUUGAGUUUUUAGAAUGGCAAUUAAAAAGAAAAAUGACUCCGGUGGAAGACGGGAGGCAAAUCACAGCUAAAUCACACUUUGAAAGAACAACAAUCCAGAACUUUCUGUUUUCUGAUGGCCAUGUCGAUUAUGCCCAAUAGGUGCCUUUGUGGCUUGUUUUACUACUCUGCCUACAGAUAUACUUCCAUGUCUCUGAUGAAUCAGUCUGUCUCCAUCUUAGGCUUGGAAGCCAUCUCAUAGUAACAGUAAACUAGAUUCAUUCCUGUGUAUGAGUAAACCUCUGUUUCUCAAGGGCUGGGCUACAACCCACCUGUAACCUUAACGACAGAUGGUUCUGCUUUGCCUGUUCUGGGAAAUGACAGUCAUGGCCUUGGUUCAGAAUGUUGUUAUGAACAACUUGUUAUGACCACCUUGCAACCAUGUGUUUGUUUCAGGAGGCUCUUAUGACCAAUGUGUUAUGCUAUGUUCUGCUUCUGUAACUCUCCACUAUUUGCCUACCACAUUUGGAAACCCCCUACUCCUCAACUAUAAAGAUCCUUAUCAGGGGCUCGGGAGAUGGCUCAGCAGUUAAGAGCAAUGACUGUUCUCCCAAAGGUCCCGAGUUCAAUUCCCAACAACCAAAUGGUGGCUCACAACCAUCUGUGAUGAGAUCUGAUGCAAUAUAAUGUGAUCUUCCGGUGUGUCUGAAGACAACUACAGUAUACAC